GCAUGCAGCUCCGGAGGGGCAAAGCUUUGUGAUGACAAAUGAUCUGAGAAGGUGCCCCAGGCAGUGACAGCUGCAGGGCCUGAUGUCUGGGUGAGCACGGAGCAGGCGGUGAAGAGGAACCUGGUGACUGCAGGAUUAUUUCAGUUAGCCAAUGUGAUCGAGCCUCUCUGGCCAAGGACAGCUUCAGUAUUCUGCCCUUUGAAAGAUGGAGAGGGACAAUGUGUGUGCCAAAGUCUGCUGAUGGAGUUGCGGGUAGAGUUACAUAGGGAGAGUCCGUUAUCUUCGAUCUCCCUCAUGGACCUAAUUUUGCAGAAGUGCAACACUAGUUUUGUCUCUCUUGUUACCUGACGUGCCCCAGGUGACGACAGUUGAAGCAUCUGACAUUUUGAGUGAGCACGGAGCAGAUCAUGAAGAUGCAGUUGGAGACGGUAGAAUCAUUCCAGUUAGGCGAUGGGCAGCUUGCGACUGUUGGUGCUCUGAAAGCUUAGUUGAGGGACCACGGUUGUGCAGGAAGAGUUCCCUUUCAACAGGUCUGUGUGUCUUCUUCACGCUCAAGACACACAGCAUGUGCCUUGGGCGCUAUUGCUGCGGUUCUGAAGGCUUCCGCUCAUCCUGUUGGCUUCAUGCCAUCGCUCCAGCUUGUUCAGAUCCCUCUGUACAGCCUCCCUACCCUCCCAGGUGGAUCGACACUUCCUCCUAAUUUAGGGGACAUCCAGAAUUUGCUAAGGGUACAGUCAACCUCCUCAUCCAAGUUGUUGAUGAAGAUAUUGAAUUGCACUGGAGGUGAGCACGGAGCCAUGGGGAACGCUAUCUCAAGGAGCAUACUGUAAGAUACUAUGUCAAAGGCUUUACUAAGUCCAAAUAUACCCUAACCACAAGUUUUCCCUCAUGCAACAAGCAGGUCUCGUUGUCACAGAAGGCGAUCGGGUUAGUUUGGCAGGACCGGACGUAAA